GUUACCACUGUGGAAAGAAUUGUUCAAAUCGCUCAUCUACUUGGGCAGACAAUUCAAGAAAAAGAAAACAUAUACAAGCUGGCUGGAGUUCUUCCAUGACUCAUUGCAGGGUGAGUCGCCACAGCAGGUGUGGUUCAAGGGAGCAGAAUGAGUCAGAUGUGGGAAAACAAGAUCAGUACAAGGGAGUAAUGUCUAACACCAGUUGUGAAAGGUUUUAAGGCAGAAAGGCUUAUCUGUUGAUGGCAUGUGAAGAGCUUCAAAUCCAUGUCGGCAGUCACUCUGGGCAAUUACAGUAUUUGAGAAACAGAAUUUGGAAACCAACUAACACCUGGAGGUUGAUGCUUUGUUUACAGCCAUGGCAGGUAAAUUUAAUUUCUUUGACAGUACUUCUUAGUUGUUAAGACCCACUUAAAAAUAGCUUCUGA
rnacentral:lncRNA from 10 species